AAGUCGUAACAAGGUUUCCGUAGGUGAACCUGCGGAAGGAUCAUUACCAUAUUCUUCUAACCAAAAGCCCUGCGCUUUCGACAGAAUUGCAGGCAACUACCAUGAGCAAGCGCCACGCGGUUCCGCGUGGCGUGAGGGAAAGAAUCAUGCUGAUAUGAGUGAAUCUUUCUAGCGCCGUUCCCCCAACGACACUCCGGUGUCGGUGGGGAGCUCUGAGGACGGACUCGGUUCUUCACCGAACCCUGUGCUUGAAAAGGAACAACAAUACUGUACAACUGCAAACGGUGGAUCACUCGGCUC
rnacentral:misc_RNA from 1 species